rnacentral:lncRNA from 1 species
UUCGUGCCUCAGUUCGUAGAAACAACAGCCGUAUCAUAUUGGCAUCCAAAUACAUAAUGACCACUUUGUUUUAUGGCAUGAACAAUACCACGUAUCAGCAGAUUGAAUUUCGUGAGGAAGUCCUCCGAUGUUUGGCACCACCGUAGGUAACCGAAUUUCUUCAUCACAGUGAAGUUCUGUCUGGUCACCCGAGCAAAGGAGAAGGAGUGGAUUUCGUCCUUGAGUCCUGGACAAAUGUGGAUACCACCAGGCCUACCAACUGAAAACGGCUGGCUCCGUAGUUGUCGCAAUCUUCACAGAUUAGAAAAGGCAUGACAGUCACCCAUGACUUUUCAACUGUCACAGACGUUUCAUUGGCUGCUGAAAUAACAGGAUGGAGGUCAUAGUUGAGGCACUUGCAUUACUUUCAAAACCCUGACAGUAAUAGUCCGCAUGUUGGCCUUGACCAGAGCCUCCAUCUUGAUGCAGACCUAGUGAAUUGUGUGCGACAGUGUCAGCAAAACCGACAAAUAUACAGGGAUAAGGCCAUUUGCGGGGAUUUCUCCCGUAAGGGGACACCCCUGUCAAAGAUAAUGGUGAAUCGCUAAAAAUUGAGCACCGGACAAAAGAGGAACUGAUGACCUUGGUGGAGGUCACAUUGCAACAUGUACAGGCUGGUGAUGACAUGCGCCGUCAAUGGAAGGCAGUCCGCUCCGGCACAAAGGCAAAAAUAAUGGUCUUUUAUAAAGAUCUGCUGGAUGUGGAGGCUGCCAUGGAAUGUGACGCUCCUUAUGACGUUCCUGACGACGAGUGCUCUUUCGCAGUUGGCGAGUGACAUGAGCGGCCAUCGUUUCCGGCAGGGGUUUCCCCAACCUGCUAAGAGCUACGUCAGCAACUCGCCUCUACCGUUCAGGUGUUUCGGAACAACUUAUUUGUGAACAAACUGGUCACCGCAGUGAAGCAGUUCGGGUGUACAAGAGGUCUUCAGAUGACCAAAUGGCAUCAGUUUCCGACCCGUUGUGCGUUGUCCCCGACAGAAAGAGAAAAGUUGAUUCUGAACCAACUGCUCAAACUUCUGUACCAGAAUCAAAAGUUUCUGAUAACUGUGGAAAAUGCAAAGACAAGCAGUAUCCCUUAACUAUUAAU